UAUGUGAAUCCAACUCUGAUCACUUCAAAUGGAGCCACUAAUGAUUUCUGCCUUCAUAAGUGCUUCUCUUUGGGGUUGUCUUGGUCG
rnacentral:pre_miRNA from 14 species